AUUGAACGCUGGCGGCGUGCUUAACACAUGCAAGUCGAUCGGUAACAGGUGUAGCAAUACAUGCUGACGAGAGGCGGACGGGUGAGGAAUAUUUGGGAAUCUGCCCAUCAGCGGGGGACAACCCGGGGAAACCCGGGCUAAUACCGCAUACGCUCUACGGAGGAAAGCCGGGGACCGCAAGGCCUGGCACUGAUGGAUGAGCCCAAAUCGGAUUAGCUAGUUGGCGGAGUAACGGCCCACCAAGGCGACGAUCCGUAGCUGGUCUGAGAGGACGAUCAGCCACACCGGAACUGAGACACGGUCCGGACUCCUACGGGAGGCAGCAGUGGGGAAUAUUGGACAAUGGGGGAAACCCUGAUCCAGCGACGCCGCGUGGGUGAAGAAGGCCUGCGGGUUGUAAAGCCCUUUCGGUAGGGACGAAAGCUCUUGCUCCAACAAAGCAGGAGGUUGACUUAACCUACAUAAGAAACACCGGCUAACUCCGUGCCAGCCGCCGCGGUAACAC
rnacentral:rRNA from 1 species